AAUGACUUGAUGAAUCGAAUAUUUUAAAAUUUAUCUGACUAGUUCAACACGCUGAGCUUUCUCCAAUCAAUGUUAAAGUAUUAUACCUGACAUUUCAUUUUCAUUCGACGACGCUGAAAAAGUACAUUCGUCAUUUUCCUUCUCUUAUAUGCGCAGUACGCAAAAUUCAAUUUCAUCUCAAGAAUUGCAUAAUGGUAUAUAAAUAUUUCUUGCAUACUGUCAGAUUUCAAUCGACACCGGUAGAAGAAAUUAGGAUGCUACAGAAAUAUUACAAUAUAUUAUAGUAUAUACAGUUUUUUUUCCACAAAAAACAACAAUAACUUCCACGAUAUAAGUUAAUCUUGAUGCUUGUCUAAACAAUAUUAUUAUCUUGGAAACUAGACUGCGAAAAACUAAUGCAAUCAGUAGGGCCGUAGCAGCAACCCACAAUUGCCCUGUAUAAACUGUUGGUUGCGCAAGCAAUGUCAGAUAAACGGAAGGGCGGAUUCUAAAAUAGGAACGAGAAUUGUGUAAUCCAAAUGCAUCCAAAAUAUUCAGUGUAAAAAAAUAGUAUUUCAAAAAUUGAUCUAACUUUGCUGAGGUUAUGCGUUUGCACGAUGCACGAUCUGCUGGUGUAUGAGGAGACUGGAGAACGGCUGCCCAAGACAGAAGAAGCGGGACAUCUCUAAUUCGUUCGGCCCUAAACCGGCGAAUAGUCGGUUAAGCAACAAAGUAAAGACCGGUUGUGGAGGCCCGGGGCCAAGCAACUUGAGGAGCAUCUUUUCAGUUAUCAAAAUUUAAAUAUGGCUUACAAAAAUAUAUGUUAAAAAAAGGUCAUGAAAG